CUAAUCAGAAAUUCAUAUGUGGGAACAUCUAAUUUUGCUGUGUAAUCACAACAAUCUAAAAUUUUCAACAUCUUGGCAGUCCUCGGGCCCAAAAUGACCUAUGUUAUCGACUUUAUUUCAAAACAGGUUGCAAAAUUGGAUGUUCCCACAUAUGAAUUUCUGAUUGGAAAGAUGUAGAUAAAUUAGAAAUUUGAAUUCUGAUAGGAUAUCAAAUCAUUCAAGUAGACACAGCCAAAAGCAACUGAAGGUUAGAGAUAGAAAUAUUCUUUGGUGAUUUGUCAGUAUAGAAAUACUAGUUAAAAUUGUGGAAGCAGAAGAGCUGUGAAGGAGGGAAUCCACACGGAGGAGAAUAUAGCCAGAGAAUCAAAGGAAGGUGCUGGAUCUUGUUCUUUCAUCCAGGCUGGAGUGCAAUGGUGUGAUUAUGGCUCACUGCAGCCCCAACCCUCCAGGCCCAAGCAAUCCUUCCACUUCAGCCUCCUGAGCAGCUGGGACCACAGACUAAUGUCACCUGGACCUUGGGGCUGCUCUGCCACAGCCGGAAGACACCAGGGAAGCCCAGGCAGCAUGAACAGCAAUGCCUGACUUUGCAAUAGUAAGUUUCUUCUCCUCCAGGAUUUGUCAAUUUUGAUUUUGCAGCUCAGUCAGUGAUGCCAUGUGCUGUUUGCCUCCUGUCUGAGUUACAAAAUAAAGAAUCAUUUUCUCUUCCAAGGUGACAAAUUUAAAAAAAAUAAAAAUAUAAAACUUUAUCUUUCCAUAUCUAUUAUAUUUUCUACCUGGAUGCAUACACUUUUGAGCAUAUGAACCAUAGAAACUCUGAGGAAAAGGAGAUACUGUAGAAGCUGUCAUGUUACAUCAUCUGCUCCUAAAUGAACAGAACUCCCCUUAAAUAUUAACCAUCAUUAUUAGUAUGUGAUAGCAGUGGGUAACAAGAAGAUAAAAUGUAAAGAAUAAAGAUAAAUUUUCUUAGGAUUCAUUAUUAACAUUGAAAUCUGAAAUUCUAGGAAAGAAUGUAAAUAGUCUAAAUAGUAAAAUAUGUUGUGUCUUCGAUCACUAAUAAAAUGAUGAAAGUUUUAAUGCAGAUUUAUCAGUCUUUUCUUCUGGGAUUGCUUGCUCAUAUAUUGCUUAUGUUCUAAAUUCUAGAACUCUAUUCUCCUUUGUUUUUACU
rnacentral:lncRNA from 1 species